AGUGAACGCUGGCGGCAGGCCUAACACAUGCAAGUCGAGCGGCAGCGGGUUCCCGCGAGGGGAUGCCGGCGAGCGGCGGACGGGUGAGGAACACAUCGGAAUCUGCCUGGUUGUGGGGGAUAACGUAGGGAAACUUACGCUAAUACCGCAUGAGACCCUGAGUCGACGGACUGGGGGUGAAAGUGAGGGACCUUCGGGCCUCACGCGACCAGAUGAGCCGAUGUCGGAUUAGCUAGUUGGCGGGGUAACGGCCCGCCAAGGCGACGAUCCGUAGCUGGUCUGAGAGGAUGAUCAGCCACACUGGGACUGAGACACGGCCCAGACUCCUACGGGAGGCAGCAGUGGGGGAAUCUUGGACAAUGGGCGCAAGCCUGAUCCAGCCAUGCC
rnacentral:rRNA from 1 species